AUGCAAGUCGAACGCACCCUUCGGGGUGAGUGGCGCACGGCUGAGUAACACGUGGGAAUCUGUCGUCCAGUGGGGGAUAACGCAUCGAAAGAUACGCUAAUCCCGCAUACGUUCCGCAAGGAAGAAAGGCGCAAGUCGCUGGAUGAGGAGCCUGCGGCCCAUCAGGUAGUUGGAGAGGUAACGGCUCACCAAGCCAAUGACGGGUAGCUGGUCUGUGAGGACAACCAGCCAGACUGGGACUGAGAACGGCCCAGACUCCUACGGGAGGCAGCAGUAAGGAAUUUUCGUCAAUGGGGGAAACCCUGAACGAGCAACGCCGCGUGGAGGAUGACGGUUUUCGGAUUGUAAACUCCUUUUGUAUGGGACGAUAAUGACGGUACCAUACGAAUAAGCCCCGGCUAACUCUGUGCCAGCAGCCGCGGUAAUACAGAGGGGGCAAGCGUUGUCCGGAGUUACUGGGCGUAAAGCGCACGCAGGCGGUUGUGCAAGUGGGAUGUGAAACCACCGUGCUUAACACGGUGACGCCAUGCCAAACUGCACGACUAGAGUGGUGGAGAGGUUGUUCGAAUUGCCGGUGUAGUGGUGAAAUGCGUAGAGAUCGGCAGGAAGACCAAGGGCGAAAGCAGACAAC
rnacentral:rRNA from 1 species